rnacentral:rRNA from 1 species
UACGAAGGGGGCUAGCGUUGCUCGGAAUGACUGGGCGUAAAGGGCGCGUAGGCGGACGGCUUUGUCGGGCGUGAAAUUCCAGGGCUUAACCUUGGGGCUGCGUUCGAGACGGGUUGUCUAGAGUUUGGAAGAGGGUCGUGGAAUUCCCAGUGUAGAGGUGAAAGUUCGUAGAUAUUGGGAAGAACACCGGUGGCGAAGGCGGCGACCUGGUCCGUUGACUGACGCUGAGGC